AUGAGGCCCAGCUACCCACCAUGGAACAAAACCAAUAACUUAACACUUGUUGCAUGUUUGUUUUCUAUCUACACAGGGGAUGGAGGAAUGGAAGAGAAAAAAAUUAUGGGCACAAAAACACCUUCAAAAUUACUCCACAUGAUGACUGAUGUUGAUCCAUCCUUUCAUCUCCUAGGUGCAGUCCAGACCGCACUCCUCCAGAAGAGGGCCGUCGGUCUUGGCGAGGAAAGGGUUCACACGCACCCACAGGAGCGAGAUGAUCGAAGCCAACAGGAUGGACCAGACGAUGACGAUCGUCGGGGUCCUGUUCUGCCUUCCAAGAAGACCCUUGAGGAACGGGUAAAGAUGGACAAUAACCCAGAAUGCGAAGAAGAGCUUCCCGAAGAGAGGCCCCCAUGA
rnacentral:rRNA from 1 species